GGGGCUGAUUCUGGAUUCGACGGGAUUUGCGAAACCCAAGGUGCAUGCCGAGGGGCGGUUGGCCUCGUAAAAAGCCGCAAAAAAUAGUCGCAAACGACGAAAACUACGCUUUAGCAGCUUAAUAACCUGCUUAGAGCCCUCUCUCCCUAGCCUCCGCUCUUAGGACGGGGAUCAAGAGAGGUCAAACCC
rnacentral:tmRNA from 1 species